ACGACCUUACUUGAACAGGAUCUGUUCUAUAGGUUCGCACCUCUGUAUCCUUGAGUCUCAAAGGAGACAGGAUACUAUGUCUGGGUGAUGAAUCGAGACUCUGUGAUCUGAGCGUGAUUGAUGGUGCGGUGAUUCCUUGCUGGUCUACCUUAGCCGCAGAGGAUCGUUCUCAGCUUGCCUUGUCUAGCUGGGCUGGUCACACGGUUGUUUGACAGACC
rnacentral:snoRNA from 1 species